GCAGGUGUAGCACAAUGGUCAGGGCACCAGCCUUCCAAGCUGGGGAUGCGGGUUCGAUUCCCGUCACCUGCUCCA
rnacentral:tRNA from 2 species